UGAGGACUGCAGCCCUGGAAACAGCAUUUCAGAUAACUCUGAGAAACUGCUCCAAGGAGGCGGGGGGGGGGGGGCGGGGGGGGCGGGCAGGAGCCAGGAUAUAUGAGUUUUGCAACCAAGGGAAGGUAGUCGGGAAGUCAAAAGAUUAUGGUUAAUUAAAGAAAACCAGAUAUCUCAAGUUAAGGAAUUUAGUGCUUUUCUAUGUAUGGGAAGAUGCAAGAGUCUGGGCUCACUGAAAUCAUUCCUUUGCUAUGCGCCUCAGCUAUCUGGGGCCAGUACCCUGUAUUUUUCACAUCCUCAGUUUCCUCAGGGCUCAUUGCAGGAAGUGGCUGCAGUCUGAUGGCUGCUAGAUGGCAGGUAUUCUUUUCAGCCCUGAGUUUCCUCAGGGCUCACGGGCUCACGUUGGAGGGUUGCAAUCGUUGAUGACUGUGACAUCCUUUGUUUAUUGAUAUGGCAGGAAAUAUUCCAUUUAUAAAUAUUCCAGGGCUUCCCUGGUGGCGCAGUGGUUGAGAGUAUGCCUGCCGAUGCAGGGGACACGAGUUCGUACCCCGGUCCGGGAAGAUCCCACGUGCCGCGGAGCGGCAGAGCGGCUGGGCCAGUGAGCCAUGGCCGCUGAGCCUGCGCGUCCGCAGCCUGUGCUCCGCAACGGGAGAGGCCACAACAGUGAGAGGUCCGCGUAACACACACACACACACACACACACACACACACACACACACACACACAAAUAUAUAUAUAUAUAUAUAUUCCAUUCGAUUUAUAAAUGUUUGAUUUAUCAGUAUUAAAAAGCAUCCCAGGUGAUUGUAAUUAAAGGGAUCACUGGAAACAUAGUCCUAAUCCUACCCUUAACCCUCAAUCCUUUACUGAGCCUUUUUCCUAGAGCUAAGGAUACCUACAAUGGCUUCCAGAGCGGGGAGAUGUUUCUGGAGAGAGAACUUCCUGGGUUCCAGUCUGAUCCUGCUCCUUAAUAGCGUGGUGAUUCUUAGCAAGUUACAUAAUUAAGCUUCUGAAUCCAGUUUCCUUAUCUGUAAAGGAUUUCUCUUUCUUUUUUGCAGUAAUUUUAAUAAUGAGUAAUUUUACUAUCUGAAUUAGGUUUAGGACACCUGUUUAAAUCCCACCUUCACAGAUUAUGACAAAUGUUAGAGAAUUGAAAUAUCUUGGAGGCAAGACUGUAAAGGUAAAUCGCUGGCUGCCGAGUGAGAGCAAACUGCUGUUGAUAUUUAAAACGUAUUGGGAUUGAAAACAAUGCUUGUAAAAUCAAUAACAGGAUUUCAGUCAGGGGUGAUUUAGAAAGCUCUUCCUAUAGAGAAACAAUGUCAGCCAUAGUUAACACAAAAUUCAUUGUUUUCUGUAAUUCUCAGUCAACACCCAGAUCCAUCUGCUUUUCUGAUAACCCCAAGUGAGAGUUAAAGGGGAAAGAGGCAGGAGGUGGGAACAGACUCCCAGUUAUUCCAGUAUCCUAGGUGUGGUUUCACUGAUGAUCCUGGGCCUGGUACUAUUUCCUAUUACCAUUUAGUAGGACAAGAGAGCUCCACGUUUCUGUUUUUAGCAGCCAGUAUCUAUCCAUUUGAGUAUGUUCUUUCUCCAAGAUUGCAAUACCUUAAUUUCAAUAAUCAUCUCAUGGUUAAUAGUGUUGUAUCAAUGUUAACUUCCUGAUUUUGAAAUUUUGUACUAUGGUUAUGUAAGAAGUUAACAUAAGGGAAAUCAAGGUGAAGAGUAUAGCUGGGCUAUUUUUGCAACUUUUUUGUAACUCUAAAAUUAUUGCCAAAUAAAAAGUUAAAAUACCAGGGAGUGAUAAAACCACCCUAGAGGAUUCCUUUGGUCCUCCGUGUCCAAGUUGUAGGGGUAGUAAAACCUGCUCACCUCAGUCAGAUCCUUGCUCUUCCAUAUCCUUGAACACAUAGUCUUUCCCAUUUGAUUGAAGUUUCCAGGAAUUUGCAUUAUGUCUGAUCCUGUAUCCAAAAUCCCGUGCCUUCGGUUUUUAAGUAAAAAUAAAAGACACAUUUUUUAUUUUCACCAAAAACUUUUUGAACAACAUAUUCACCCUUUUGUUCCACUACCUUCUGCCAUUUUUCAGGCAACUUCAUGAUUCCAUCUUCCCAAAACUUUUUAUCUUUUUGAGCAAAGAACUGUUGCAGGUGCCUUUUACAGUUUUCCAGGGAAUUGAAAUUUUUUCCAUUAAAAGAAUUUUGUAAAGACUGAAAUAAAUGGAAUUCCGAAGGUGCAAUGUCUGGUGAAUACAGCGGAUGAAUCAGAACUUCCCAGCCAGGGCUUCCCUGGUGGCGCAGUGGUUGGGAGUCCGCCUGCUGAUGCAGGGGACGCGGGUUCGUGCCCCGGGUCCGGGAGGAUCCUACGUGCCGCGGAGCGACUGGGCCCGUGAGCCGUGGCCGCUGAGCCUGCGCGUCCGGAGCCUGUGCUCCGCAAUGGGAGAGGCCGCAGCAGUGAGAGGCUCGCGUACCGCAAAAAACAAACAAACAGAACUUCCCAGCCAGGUUGUAACAGUUUUUGCCUGGUCAUCAAAGAAACAUGUGAUCUUGCGUUAUCCUGAGGGAGGAUUAUGCGGAUUCUGUUGACUAAUUCCGGACACUUUUCAUCAAGUGCUGCUUUCAUCUGGUCUAAUUGAGAGCAGUACUUGUUGGAAUUAAUCGUUUGGUUUUCCAGAAGGAGCUCAUAAUAGAGGACUCUCUUCCAAUCGCACCGUAUACACAACAUCACCUUCUUUGGAUGAAGACCGGCUUUUGGUGUGGUUGGUGGUGGUUCAUUUCACUUGCCCCACCAUCUCUUCCAUUCCACAUUCUCAUACAGUAUCCACUUUUCAUCACCCGUCACAAUUUGUUUUAAAAACGGAAUGUUUUUGUUACGUUUAAAUAGAGAAUUGCAUGUGGAAAUACGGUCAAGAAGGGGUUUUUUCGCUUAAUUUAUGUGGACCCCAAACAUCAAAGCGAUUCACAUAACCAAGCUGGAGCAAAUGAUUUUCAGCGCUUGAUUUGGGUAUUUUGAGUAUGUUGGCUAUCUCCCUCGUAAUAUAACGUCGAUUGUUCUCAGUUAAUGCCUCCACGUGAUUGCUAUCAACUUCAACUUGUCUACCCGACCGUGGAGCAUCAUCCAGCAAGAAAUCUCCAGCACGAAACUCGACAAACCAUUUUUGACAUGUUCAGUCAGCCAUAGCACCUUCUCCAUACGCUGCACAAAUCUUUUUUGUGUGUUUCAGUUGCGUUUUUACCUUUCUUGAAAUAAUAAAGCAUAAUAUGCUAAAAA